rnacentral:rRNA from 1 species
GAUGAACGCUGGCUACAGGCUUAACACAUGCAAGUCGAGGGGAAACGACGGGGAAGCUUGCUUCCCCGGGCGUCGACCGGCGCACGGGUGAGUAACGCGUAUCCAACCUGCCUCUGACUGAGGGAUAACCCGUCGAAAGUCGGCCUAAUACCUCAUGGCAUCGUCUGCGGGCAUCCAACGACGAUUAAAGAUUUCAUCGGUCAGAGAUGGGGAUGCGUCUGAUUAGCUUGUUGGCGGGGUAACGGCCCACCAAGGCGACGAUCAGUAGGGGUUCUGAGAGGAAGGUCCCCCACAUUGGAACUGAGACACGGUCCAAACUCCUACGGGAGGCAGCAGUGAGGAAUAUUGGUCAAUGGGCGAGAGCCUGAACCAGCCAAGUAGCGUGCAGGAUGACGGCCGUAUGGGUUGUAAACUGCUUUUAUGCGGGGAUAAAGUGAGGGACGUGUCCUUCAUUGCAGGUACCGCAUGAAUAAGGACCGGCUAAUUCCGU